rnacentral:lncRNA from 1 species
UUUGUAACAUUUGGCUGCAUCAAUGGUUGUACCCAUUGCUUUAAGUUUUGUUUAUGCAGUAAAGAAAGUAGAGAGAGAGCAGCAGAAAAAAGGGCUCCGAUGGGUUCCGGCCGCCGGUGAUGGCAGAGCCAUGAUGCCUUUAGACGGAGCUACAACAGUGGUGGUCUAGGUGGUGUCGGGUUGGACAAAUAAACAACAGUUGUGGUGCUAGGGUUUGACAAAGGAUGAUGGUGGUGGUGUUAGGUAAGAGGCGGUGGUUCAGUUGACAACUGUGACGACCACAACGGACCCGAUUGCAAUAAUAGUGACCGCGACGUUUUGAAGGUUUAGGAUUCCGGCAAGGCUUCAGUUAAUUCCUACGAGUUUUGCGAUAAAACUAAGUUCCCUGAAUCUGUCACAAGAGUGUAUGCAGAGGAUCGCUAAAGAAUUAGAGUGCAAUGAAGCUUCACGAGACGGGGAUUUGGCACGAGAGUGUAUGCGGAGGAUCGCUAUAGAAUUGGAGUGCAAUGAAGCUUCACGAUACGGGGAUUUGUUGCUACAAGGCGUUCGAUUUGCUUUUCGGGUUCAUUAGAUAGUUUGGCAGUGGAAAACACAUCAGCUCAAGGGGACACGCGUCAUUAAUCCUCAUCGUAUGAGAAACCUAAACCAUCUUUCUCUCAAAGUCUGGGUAGAGGGAGAGAUCGAGAGAAAGAGAAUCCGACCACACUCCGGCGGCCGGUGGUAUCAAUGACGACGGUGACGAUAGGGGUAAACGGAAAUGAAGAUGAUCGUCUUUUGAGAUUUAGGUUGUACAGUUGUUUUGUAAUAAAGUUGUCAUUGUCGUGGCUCUGGUGGUGUUUCGCAGCGUGUAAAGCGACUGCCGGUGGCGAAGACGACCUACUGCAGUCGAACAUUUGAUGAACAUGAAGUUCACUUGCAUUGCAUCAUUAAAGACAGAUAAACGCCACCAGUGGUACUGCCUCUUAAAAAAAAAACUCCCGAUGAAGUACUUGGCAAUGAGACUUGUAUUCUUAGAGUUCAUCUACACGGUGAUGGUUGCAAACACAAAGUGAAGAAACUUCUUCAAAAAAUUGACGGCAUUCUCUCUUUCAGCUGUUCCUUUCAUUAAAAAAAGAAAAGAAACUAUGUCUUUGACUUUUGAAGUCAAAGAAUACUUUUUCGUUUCAAACUUGAAUGUAAUUAUUGGAAAGAAAAAAAUGGUACAUGUACAAGUAGGUGUUGAAUAUGGUACAAAAGGGAAGAAGUUUUUGGUGUAGGUAUGGGUGGGAUAUGAAGGUCAAGAUUUGUCGGGUUUGACUACACAUGUUCAAGAUUUGUGACGAUGAUGAAUCUUUAAGUUCGGUUAGCUUAAUGAACUAAAGCGGGUAGUUUCAUUCAUGUGUAUAAAUGUGAUAGCAAGUUUUGUAUCAUUAAUGUGGGCAUAAUAGAAGAAUAUUAGUUUGCUUUAGCUUUGCGAAACUGGUUAGAGCGGGUAAACAUGCUAAGCUUUGGUCAAACAAGGAGGUAUAACAUUGAAACCUCCAAUGUUUAGAAUUUAAACUUGGUUGAUUUGAAAAGGAUUGUCAAGACAACGUUUAUGAUGGGCUCAAUUUGUAUGCCCCCGCCGCAACG